rnacentral:rRNA from 1 species
CCUACGGGUGGCAGCAGUGGGGAAUAUUGGGCAAUGGGCGCAAGCCUGACCCAGCAACUCCGCGUGAAGGAUGAAGGUUUUCGGAUUGUAAACUUCUGUCGCGAGGGACGAAGAAUGACGGUCCCUCGUAAGAAAGCCCCGGCUAACUACGUGCCAGCAGCCGCGGUCAUACGUAGGGGGCAAGCGUUGUCCGGAUUGACUGGGCGUAAAGGGAGUGUAGGCGGCUUAUCAAGUUAGAUGGGAAAUCCCGCGGCUUAACCGCGGAACUGCAUCUAAACCUGGUGAGCGAGAGUGCAGGAGAGGUGAGUGGAAGUCCUGGUGUAGCGGUGGAAUGCGUAGAGAUUAGGAGGAACACCAGAGGCGAAGGCAACUCACUGGACUGUAACUGACGCUGAGGCUCGAAAGCGUGGGGAGCAAACAGGAUUAGAUACCCCAGUAGUC